CGGUGUAUCUUAGCAAGCAGCGUGUCAGCAUAUUGAUAGCAUUCGUUUUCAGAUGAAUAUACGGAUUACGGAGGAAUGUAGGAAACUGUUGUAACAACCAUGUUAUUGUGAUAUUAAAUCAAGUUCUGGAAUCCAUAAUACUAUGAGCCUUACCAUUUACAGUUGCGAAAAAUGUAGCAAAGCUAAAGUGUAUACAGCAUAUAUAUAUUGCAUUCCCUUCUCCUUGAUAUACAGAGGAGGAAACUGUGUUAUAUCAAUCAUUAUAUGAUAUCAAACCAUGUUUUGCAAUUCAUAAUAUGGCCCUUACCAUUUACACUCGAGGAAACUUUGUUCAUGUUUCAGUGGUUUAAUUUUGUUGCUCCAGGGGAAGAAAAUUGUUUUGGGCAUCAACAUGGUGCCUUCGAAACAACUUUUUAUUUGUUUCACCAAUGAUAUGUUUGUAUUUUUUUUAGAUAAUGGAAUGAGGUAAAACAUAAAGAAAGAACUUUAGCCACUGCUGACAGAAGCGCGGUAAAUUGACAAUAUGAAACGUGAACCUGAUCCUGGAUGCAGCAGAAUGCUUGAUGAAUUCCAAUUAUAUGGGCAUCUAUUGAGUUUGUUGACCCCAAACUGUUCUUGAUGGACAGAAGCUCAGAGCUGAAUUCAUUAAUUUAUGGCUAGACCAGUAUGUUAUGGUUGCUUGUUGCUCUCACUCAAAUCUUCAAGUGGGUUCGUUGUAUAAUACAAAAUUGGGUGUAGUUCUGGAGCCAACUAUGUGGCUUUCUUACCUUCAGUGACAGAAAUAUUAGUUACCUGUUCAUGACUGCUCUCUGGAAAGUUCUUAAAUUAGUUGAUGGUGUACUUGCCACUGAUGCGCGGCUUGUUUUAUCUUUUAAGGAAGAACAAAUUGGUAGAUGGGAGCAUGAUUGAUCGAGGAGUUUGCCAUCACUAACUUAUAUUGUAAGAAAUAUUUUCUAUACCUUUUAUAAAAGAACCAUGUUCAUUAUAGCAGACAUCUCAAAUGCUAGUGUGAACUGAUAAUGGAAAUUCAUGUAGCCUGAGAUGAUUCAAUAAUUUCAGCAAGAAUACACACACAUAUAAAAUGUGCGAUAAAAAACAACUGAUUUUGCAUGUCAUUAGUAUGUCAGAAACUAAGUCCACCACGUCUAGUCAGCUACUUGAUCAUAAUCGAUUGAGAACACCUCCAACAAACCAACCUCAUGGACUUAAUUAGUGUGUUGUUUGAGAGUAAUCCACAAACUCUGAUCUACAGACACCUAAAGAGGAGUUCUAGAAAUUUUAUGUUCUCUUUUCUAGAGUUUGCGGAGCCACACAUGUUUGGUUGAAAAACGUGGAGUGGAGCUGUUACAAACAGAGACUAAGGCAAAAAAACAUUAUGAGUUGCUUAAUUUAUUUAGUCCUUGUUUAGUUCACGAUUUUUUUUUGAUUUGGCUACUAUAGCAUUUUCGUUUGUAUUUGACAAUUGUUGUCCAACCAUGGACUAACUAGGCUAAAAAAUUUUGUCUUGCAAAUUACAAAUAAACUGUGUAAUUACUUAUUUUUUUAUUUAUAUUUAAUGCUUCAUGUAUGUGAUAAAGAUUUAAUAUGAUAGCAAAUCUUGAAAAUGUUUAGAAACUAAAACAAAGUGAAUCACUGGUCAGUACGCAUGCAUGCAGGAGCUAUGUCCCCAACUCAUUCACAUUGAUGAGGUAGAACGAGGUCUUGUUUACUUACACCUGAAAUCUAGAGAACUUUUCAAGAUUCCUCAUCAUAUCAAAUCUUGUGGCACAUAUAUAGAACAUUGAAUAUAGAUAAAAAAUAACUAAUUACAUAAUUUAUCUUUAAUUUGCGAAACGAAUCUUCUGAGCUUAGUUAGUCUAUGGUUUGACCAUAAUUGCCAAAUACAAACAAAAAUACUACAAUACUCAAAAAAUUUUCACCUAAGAAACUAAACAAGGCACAAAUCUAGUUGGUUUGUACAAGUGCAUCAUCAUUCACACGACACAUGAACCAAACCAUAUAUAUAAGUUGGUGUGAACUCAGUUGUUUAUACCAUAACAUAACUUGCAUGGUCAGUUGUCGAGAUGUACUUUGGUUAGCUCGAUAGUUUUCUUGGUAUAUCUUUUUUUUAUCCUUUGGUCACUCGUUGUUUGUCCCUUUCAGUUACGUUGCCUUUGAUCAAGAAUGGUUCGAACUUGGGCUCCUUUCGAGUCAUCCUACUAUUAAAAAAACUAUAAUUGGUGACAAUGGUAACCUUCGGAACCUAAGAAAGUAACCUCAACUUGUUUUGUAGAGAAAGGGGAAAAAAAGUCAUUUCAGCUACAAAAGCUAUAUAAUUAAUGGCACCUAACAAAUAGAAAAAAAAUGUUAUCCUGACUACGCAUUUGCAUUUACCACCUGAAGCAACAUAUAUAUAUUUAUGGAAUGCUUAUAAUUCCAUUCUGCAGUGUAUUUCCCUUUUUGGCCUGCUAAGCAGAUGCACAGUUGAUCUUCUACUGUUAGUAGUUAGCAAAAUGAAUUUGUUUUUGUUAUUGACUUAAUUAUUGAGCCAGAAUAAUCUCAGUUUACAUGGUGUUAGCUAAUAACUAGUGCUAACAAAUGCUAAAUUGUUACGACUUGCACGAUACUGACGUGCCAGCCUCUGAACUGUCCAUUCAUAGUUUUACCAGACACGAAACUACUUGCCCAACAACACCUCAUUCAUGUAGUCCUUCCAUACCACUUUUUGCAAUAAACAAUACUUCAGAAAACACUUCUUCACUAUCACAAGCUAAAGCUACAUUCUGAGAAAGCCAAGUCACGCUUACACUGACAGUGUGACUCUUAAGCUUGGAUUUGGUAACCAUAAAUGAUUUUUCUAUUACCAGCAGUUGCAAGGGUGCUUUCAUGUUUCGAUGGUUAUCAUGAUCUUAUCUGAGAGAAAGCAACAUUCUAAUCAGUGUAAGUAUUCGACAUGACAAACGAAUAUACAUCAAAACUUUGGGCUUUCAUAUAAAGACUCCCCAUACAUUUGUUUGUUGUGUAUUGAUAGCAAGGCCUGAACAAUAUAAACCAAUUAUUAUAAUUCAAAUGUCAAAUGCUUACAUGGGGAUCCACAAUAAUAAAAUCACUAAGUUACAGCAUCGGCAUCGUUAACUCCCUUUUAAACGAUACUGUAACCAAUGCAAAAAAAGAAAUAAAAACAAAUGCAAUUACUACCAACAACAAUAUAUAAUUAUGUUAAACUUAGCGGAAGUUUGUUGCGCAUGCCACUUAUUUUGCUAUUAGUUAGUGUGUCGGCUCUUCUUUCUUGCGCCACUUUUCUAAUGCAAACUCACAUACAUUUAGAUACUUUUGUUUCCCCCUUUUUUGGUUCCUCUUUCCUUUCCUUUUCUUUCAUAAAUCAUUUUUUAGAUAAUACCUGGCUUCAUCAAUAUAUAGUUAUAUACAUAAUGUAGAACCUGUAUUUUUAAGGCUUGAGGGUGCAACCACCUUCGAUUCCUCAAAGAGCCUAGCUAGUGCUUGCAUGCUCACAUCCUAAUUGCUUGGAUUGCUACUAUUUGUAUACUCAUGGUUCGUUGUAAUGCAAGAAAAAAACUCGAUCUGCGAGGGCUAAGACAGCCCCUGGACAUUGUGCUUAAGAAGAUCUUUUCACAUAGAUUGAGAAAACCCUCAAAUCUCUGCUCUACCCAUACACAGCGGUAUCGCUGCUCCUGUGAGAUUUGGUUGGCCUUAGACCUGUGCUUUGAUAUGAGAUAGACGAGAAGAUUUUUUUCGUCCCUGGCCAACAAAUUCGCUCCCGUAGAGGGUCGAACUCCGUCCGCAAGGAUGCAACGUGGUGCAGCUAGCCAAAUACAACUUGUUUCUGUUGCAGCAUUCGUAAAGCUCGAAACAAAUUAACAGUGGAGAUGAAACAAACUCACUAAGCUCGAAAUUGUGCAGGCAUGAACAAGAACAUCAAGACGAUGACGUGGAUGACCAAUGAGGCGGCGUAGAUGCAGACCAUCAGUCGUUUGCCCUACUAAUGCACGAGAGAAAUAUCUCGUACGUGAUGACGAAAGAAUAUUGUUAAGGAAGUUAAGCAUGCAAGACGCUAGCUAUUCUCCAUUGUCUUACGAGAGCUGUGACACAUAGGAUAUAUAGCUCAUUGGCCAAUUGCUGAACACGCAUAGGUCCGGUCGGUGAGAUGCAUAGUAUAGACACGAUAUAUAUUAGCUGGGUAUGUUUCCGCAAAGUUAAUAUAGAGAACAUAUAUAUAUAUAGGUACGGUGGUGGAUUGAAAGAGGCUUGUUAAGCCGCCCUCUUGUCGUGCAAAACUAAACAAGCUAGCUAGAGUGACCUCCAUUAUCCAAACCUUACAAACAUCCUAUUUAAUUACCAUGCGCGCUCGAUCAUCCAAGCAAUAAAUUAAAGCUCUCUCAUUCACAACUUAGUUCUUUUGGCUAGCUAGCUUAAUUGUUCCUCGAUCGCUCCAGCUAAUCAAUCAAAGUAGCAAACCCAUCGAUCAGUUUCUUGGGGAAAUUAAACCAGGCCACACAUCGAUUGCAAUGGAGAAGUCGUCGAGGGUCAGGCCAUCGAGGGGCCACUGGCGUCCCGGUGAGGACGACAAGCUGCGGCAGCUCGUCGACAAGUAUGGCCCUCAGAAUUGGAACUCCAUUGCUGAGAAUCUGGAGGGGAGAUCAGGUAUGUAUAUAUCUAGGGCUUCUUUCAAGCUCUCCUGAUUAAUUGUUUCUCCUCCGCUUUCUGAAGCACAUACAUGCAUGCACAUGCAUGAUGACGUGAAGAAAAAGUUUUCUCACCAUGGCUUUGUUUCUUUAAUUAAUCUUGUAUACUUGUGUUGUUCCUUCUCGUUCGUCUAGGCUUUUGUCAAUUCUCGCAUGCAUGAUCGUUUUGGAUGGUCGAGUGACAAGAAAAGUUUGAUCGAUGUUCAUCAUCGUUUGUGUUUGUACACAUAUGUGGAGAAUGUUUAAGUUGGUUUAUGAAUGUGUAAUAAUUAAGAUACUACUAGAUACUAAUUAUAUAUUCGAAUGUCACCUUGGUUCAUUUCAAGUUCGUGAGGCAUCCAUGCAUCUUUGCCUGCCCUACUUUACAAAUUUUCAUCUCUUUUCACCAUGCCGUACGUACCACAUGUUGGUGCUGCAGAAAAAAAUGUAUAUCAUCAUCAUCAUCAUCAUCACCGUUUGCUUGAUUAUGGAUCCACGACCCGUCCAUAUGCAUAUACUGUAGUAGAAACUAUAUAUCACAAGGACAAUUAAUAUAUAUGUCUGCAACUCUGCAUCAGUAUGUACAGUAGAUUUUCUUGCUUGCGCAUCCAAUUUUUUCCAUUUCAGAGAUGAACGUCCAGAACGCUACUGACUGAGUGACUGAUGCGUACGUGUUUAUGCAUACAUGGCAAUGGCACGGAUGAAACAUAUAGGCAAGAGCUGCCGGCUCCGAUGGUUCAACCAGCUGGACCCGCGGAUCAACCGGCGGCCCUUCACGGCGGCGGAGGAGGAGCUGCUCCUGCAGGCGCACCGCGCCCACGGCAACCGCUGGGCGCUCAUCUCCCGCUUCUUCCCGGGCCGCACCGACAACGCCGUCAAGAACCACUGGCACGUCGUCACGGCGCGCCGCCGCCGCGGCCACCACCACCACCAUCGUACCCUCGUCGGCGACGGCGAGCAAACCGCCACCAGCACCGGCUAUGUCGCCGUUGUACCGCCUCGUCAUCAGCCGCCGUUUCAUCAUCAGUACUUCCAUUUCGGAAGCUGCUGCCUGCCGGCGACGACGACGAAGAUGACCACCACCCGCUCGCUGUGCUUCGCGGUGCCAGCUGGUUCCGGGCCGCUCGGCCUCAGCAGCAGCCGAGCUGGAACGUACGGUGUCGUCAGGAACUGCAACGUGCCCACUGCCGCCGCUGCCGUCGCAUUAUUGGACGGCCAUCGUCGUCAUGACAUGAGCAAAGACCAUGGCCGUCGUGGCGGUGACGAUGGCGGUGCCGGUGCGGUUGCAAACAGGAAGGACGUGCAAUUCUUCGACUUCUUGGGCGUCGGGAUCUGAAGAAAAAUAAAUAAUGAUGGUAUAAGUACAGAACAUUAUUGGAACGAUAUACGUACUGCAAUAUAUUAAUGAGGCGUUGUUACCUAGAAAAUUGGAUGUUGGUGGCCUUGUUCAGUUCCCAAUUUUUCAAAAAUUUACGAGAUAAAUCUUUUGAGCCUAGUUAGUUUAUUAUUGGAUAAAAUUUAUCAAAUACAAACAAAAAUACUACAGAGUAGGCAAAAUAAAAAAAAUUUCUAAACUUUCUGAUUUUUUUAGGUUUUAAAUAUUGUAGCACUUUCAUUUUUAUUUAAUAAUUAUUGUCUAAUUAUAAAAUAACUAAGCUUAAAAGAUUUAUCUUAUGAUUUACAGAUAAACUAUAUAAUUAAUUUUUAUUUUCAUGUCUUUUUAAUGCCUCAUGUAUGCGACGCAAGAUUCGAUGUGAUAGAAAAUUUUUAAAAAAAAAUUAGUUUUUAGGGUGAACUAAACAAGGCCUACGAAUGGGCAUUCCUUAUGAGAGUACUCUCUCACUCUCUCGACACCACACGCUCGUGAGAUGUGCCAGGGGUCCCACAUGUCAGCAGCAUAAAUGACAUGACAAAAACGAUGAUGUGAAGGUAAGUCAUUAAUCCCCAAAUACUUCAUUAGUUUUAGAACGUAGGUAAAAUACAUGUUUUUAUUUUGUUCAAGUCAAAAGUUUUCUAAUCUUGACCAAUAAGCCAAGACCAUGAAAAACAAUAGGCGAGGAAAGAUCAGCUAAUAGUGUGCAAUAGAUAACUAAUGCUGGAGUGAUGUUUAGAUUUCCUGUUGUAUAAUAUAAUCUCCCUUAGCUUUUGGUAGCGCAUGUCCAUGUUGCCACCAACCAAACGGGCUUGAGGGCCAGCGCUACGCUUCGCUUCGAUCGUCUGGGAUUCAUGCUCACUAGUGGAGCUAGAAAGCAACCAUAGAAACCAAAAAGCUACUGUAGUUGCUUCGUCUGGCUCCUCUGUCCAUACAUGUGGAUCCCUCCUUGGAUGCAUGGUGGACGACGAUUAGAGCACGAGGCAGAGGCGCCGAGAUAUGAGGCAAGUGAGGCAUCGUGGAAGUGAAGAAGGUGGCACGAUGACCGGGGUGGGGAUGAGGGAGGCGACCACGUGUGAGGAGGCAGAGAUUAAGAAGGGAGCGUGGCUGAGGUAGAGGCGAAUGAGAGGAAGGAAAGGGAGAAAGAAACUACAAUAGAAAAAAGAAACAACAUUAUGGAUAUUUUACUCUUUUUACUUAUCAUGAGAAAUUGUUUUAAUAAACAUUUUUCUAUGGAGUUAUCUAGAUCUAAAGAAAACUACUCCAGCAAAAGAUCGAUCUAGAGUCAGAGCAGUUUUAGUUAGAGUAGAGCGAGCUCUACCAAACACACCCUACAUUUAUUUAAUAAAGUUAGAAAAGUUUGAUUUGAGACAUAAAUAAAACUAUGUUCGUUUUGUACAAACAUACGGGUAUGCAUGUUUCUUUCCCAACUAAUUGUCCAACUUGCCAAACUAUAAAGGAUAAAAUAGAAAUUUCUCACUUUAACCAACUAUCAAUCACUAUAAUCUACUCCCUCCGUCCCACAAGUAAACGUAUUUCUUUGACUUCUACGAUACAUGUUUGACUGUUCGUCUUAUUCAAAAAAAUUUAAUAAAUAUUAUUUAUUUUUUAUGACUUAUUUUAUUGUUAGAUAUAUUUUUACAAUAAUUUUGUUAUUUUAUUAUUUGUAUAAAAAAUUUAAAUAAGACAAAUGAUCAAAUAUGAAUCGUACCGGUCAAAGAAAUGCAUUUAUUUGUGGGACGAAGGUAGUAUUAUGUAUAAUUCAGAUUAUAAUAACCAAGUCAUGAUCCAAACAGCUAGACCUUAAAAUAAAAAGCAAUGCUAAGUAAUGUAAGUAGAACGCUAUAUAUCAAGUCGUGGCUCCAGAUAUUAUAGGAAACAUUAUAUAUAGCAAAAAUAUGCCACUAAAUAAAAUUGGAAUGGGGUUGGACUCUCUGAAAGUCACAGGCCUCUCCAUCCAUGCCACCUAAGCAAGCAAUGCCUUCCUCAAGAUCUGCAUACCCAAGGGUCACCCGCCACGUGUCACACGGGCCCACCGACAUUUGGAUAAUUUGUGCCACGUGUGCAAAGCCCAGCCAAUGGGAUGGAAGCAGCCUCACCCUAUCCACACGCCCGGCACCACAACCACAACCCUCUACAGCCUCCACACCUGCAGGCACCCACGAUCAAAAACAAAACCAUCCUCACUCUCCCCUGCUGCCAGCCAACCAAGCUCCAAGCUCCAAGCACGCACAGCCACUCAGCCACACCACACCAAGAUCAUGGCCGGCGUGAACUCCAGCGUCGUCGGACUCAAGCCCGCCGCGGCAGUGCCCCAGGCCGCCGCCGCCGCCGCCUCGUCGCAGGCGAAGCGGGUGCAGCUGGUCGCGCCCGAGGGCCGCCGCGCCGCGCUGCUCGGCCUGGCGGCCGUCUUCGCCGUCACCGCCACCACCGGAUCGGCCAAGGCCGGGAUCAUCGACGAGUACCUUGAGAAGAGCAAGGCCAACAAGGUCUGUCGUCGUUUCGUGUGUAUUAUUUUAUGAGAGCUGUUGCUAGCUUGUUUCAAUGCAUGGAAGUGAAACCUGACAGGAUUUUCCUUUUUUUUGCUGCGAUCGAUCGAUCAGGAGCUGAAUGACAAGAAGAGGCUGGCCACCAGCGGCGCCAACUUUGCGCGCGCCUACACCGUCGAGUUCGGCAGCUGCACGUUCCCCUACAACUUCACUGGGUGCCAGGACCUCGCCAAGCAGAAGGUUGUUCACAUAUUCUCAUCACACUCAUAAGAAACUUUUUAUUUUUCGAGAACAAGUUCGCUGAUGUGUGUUUCAUUGAGAGGAGAUCGAUACUCAUAAGAAACCUCACCUGAUCGAUCGAUAAUAAUCUGAAUUAUUGAUUUCUUCGAUCUCAUGUUGUGCCAUAUAGAUAUCAUGUGUGUCGUCCGUGCUUGCUUGUGUUGUUGCAGAAAGUGCCCUUCAUCACCGACGACCUCGAGAUCGAGUGCGAGGGGAAGGAGAAGUUCAAGUGCGGCUCCAACGUUUUCUGGAAGUGGGGUGAAGCAAAAUGAGGAGGCGACCUGGUGGUGUACAUGUACGUGUGUGUGUACCUAGAUGUGCGCCCAAACUGCAGGAAGAAUUUGGAUGUGUAAUUGUGGUCAGUGUAUUUGUGUCAUCUCAUCAUCUGAUUGAUCAUCAUGAACCUCUUGCAUUAAUUGGGGAGAGUGAAUUAUAGUAUUUUGUCCUUGAUCGCCUUCUCGUUUCAUAGGCGCUUAUGAGUUUUCCCUACAAAACACGACAAAAGAAAGAUAUAAUUUUUCUAUUACGAUAAGCCCUGGAACUCGAUUAAUAUGCUGCUCAAAUUUUAUAUAUUUGUUGAGCACUUAACGAUCUCAAA
rnacentral:lncRNA from 1 species